rnacentral:lncRNA from 1 species
UCCCUAUGUUUUAUUCGAUACAUUUCGACAGUGUUACCCCUUAUGGAUUUUUCAUGACGACAGAUAAAAAACGACAGUGUUACCCUUUACGUUUCAUUUGAUAAAAACGACAGUGUUACCCCUUGUGUUUUUUUUCAUGACGACCAAAGAAAAACAACAGUGUUACCCCCUAUGUUUUAUUUGAUCAAUAUCGACAGUGUUACCCCUUAUGGUUUUUUUCAUGACGACCAAAGAAAAAUGACAGUGUAACCCCUCAUGUUUCAUUUGAUAAAAACGACAGUGUUACCCCUUAUGUUUUUUUCAUGACGACCGAUAAAAAACGACAGUGGUACCCCUUAUGUUUUUUUUCUUGACGACCAAUAAAAAACAAAAGUGUUACCCCUUAUGUUUUUUUUCAUGACGACCAAUAAAAAACGACAGUGUUACCCCUUGUGGUUUUUUUCAUGACGACCAAUAAAAAAU